GGAGACGUCAUAAACAGUGGGAUCAGCUUGGUAAGCUUGUGUGAUUAAUACUAUGUUUCACUUUUUCAGCUGCUUAGGAUCAAAAAGAAAAAAAAUAAAGGUUACAAAAAAUCCAUAUCAAGCCUAACAUAGGAUUGGAAACACAGCAAUGAUUGGAACAAAUUAGAACCACAUUUUCAUCAUCUGACUCCAACAACCAAAGGAAACACCCUUUCCUUCUUUGGGAGCUGUAGCUCUCUGGAGUUUUGGGAAGCCCAAAGGUGGAGACCACGUGGCCUCCAGGGAAACAACGAGCAUAUUGUGAAUUGUAAUAAAGAAUAUGCAGCAGGUCAGCAUUUUGUCAUCACUGUGAGUACAGCUUCCGAAAGGAAAGGGAGAGAGAAAGAGAAGAAAGAGACUAAAACAAGGAAAAGAGUUUCAUUAAAAAAAGAAGAUGAAAUUUAUGCCAAGUUCAAAAACUAAACUGUGCAUCGAAAUGUACACUCAUGGUGUAUGGAGGGGUUAAAAAAAGAGACAUGGUAAAUAAUUUUUAAGAAGGAAACAAUAUUUACAUAUAAUCCAGAUCAACCCACAUGUUGUUUAUCUAAACGAUUCUCCAAUCCAGAGUGCUUGGGAAUAAGAGUUUCUGGAUGGCCAAGUUUACCCAGAUACCUAAAGGUUAGUUAAUCUCUUAAAUUUUGUAAUUUAUUUUUAAUGGGAAACUUUCUAAAGUGUACAUUUCCUUG
rnacentral:lncRNA from 1 species